UCCUAGCCCUGAUAGAAGCGGCAUCCUUUUGUUUUUUUCUUUAAAAAACAAAAGAUAUAGCGGAUAGCAGGAAAUUGC
rnacentral:sRNA from 1 species